rnacentral:snRNA from 1 species
AUACUUACCUGAACAGGGUCAAUGGGUGAUCAAUAAUUUUUAUGGCCUAGGUUGGUGGUCUCCAUUGCACUUAGGAGAUGCAUCAGCCUAAGGUCUGUCCAAGUGGCAGAGCCUACGUCAUAAUUUGUGGUUGUGGGGGCUUGCGUUCGCGCACCCCUUG